AGUGAACGCUGGCGGUAGGCCUAACAUAUGCAAGUCGAACGGCAGCACAGAGGAGCUUGCUCCUUGGGUGGCGAGUGGCGGACGGGUGAGGAAUACAUCGGAAUCUACUCUGUCGUGGGGGAUAACGUAGGGAAACUUAUGCUAAUACCGCAUACGACUUACGGGUGAAAGCAGGGGACCUUAGGCCCUUGCGCGAUUGAAUGAGCCGAUGUCGGAUUAGCUAUUUGGCGGGGUAAAGGCCCACCAAGUCGACGAUCCGUAGCUGGUCUGAGAGGAUUAUCGGCCACACUGUGACAGGGACACGGACCAGACUCCUACGGGCGGCAGCAGUCGGGAAUAUUGCACAACGAGCGCAAGCCUGAUCCAGCCAUACCGCGUGGGUGAAGAGGCCCUUCGGGUUGUAAAGCCCUUUUGUUGGGGAAGAAAUCCAGAUAGCUAAUACCCGGUUGGGAUGACGGUACCCAAAGAAUAAGCACCGGCUAACUUCGUGCCAGCCGCCGCCGUAA
rnacentral:rRNA from 1 species